UGGAAAAAGAAAAAAGAGAAAACAAAAAGAAAGAACAAAAGAGAAAAAAAGAAACGUGAUAUUGGUUUCUUCAGAAAAGGAGAAAGAGAAAUGAAAGGAGGAAAGAGGGAAGAGGGAGAUCGAAGGAGAGAGAAGAGAAAGUGGAGGAUGGCAGACUCCGGCGAGCCAUCCACGGCGUCGAAGUAGAUGCACGUACGCACAAUACAAGAAGGAAGAGAGAAAGAAGGCACACGAAGAGGAGGAAGUAAGAGCACGUUUUUGUUCGUUUUGGGGCGUUUAGUGCGCAUUUUAUGAUCAAAUUUACAAGCUUACUUCAUGCUUAAUCUUCCAUAAUAGUGGCUUUCGAGUUCACUAAAGAGUCGUUUUGGAGGUGGUUGUUUUGCUGUGAUUCCUAAGAGGUACAUGAAGGUAGUAUUAUUGAAGAAGGUCCGAUAUAUGUUAUUCAUAUUGUUUGUAUCGCGGCAAGGACGAUCGGCUUUGUAAUAUUAUAGUUAAUAGUUAAUUUUUAAUUAAAUUAAAAGAUUUGAGUUUGUAAAGUUUAAACUUGUUUGGGUUAUUGUUGGAUUUUAAGGAUACCGGAUUACGAAUCGGACGCGAGUCCUAAAUUAAGUUUUAGGCGGUCCGUAUUACAAAUGGAACUCUGCCGAAUUUUCUGUAGAAUCUUAGUAACAUAUCUAGUUGUUUAUAAUAUUUGAGGAUCACUUAAUAUAGUUUAUUAGA